UUUUGGGGAGGAAUGGUAUAGCAAUAGCUGAUUGCACCAACAAACAGUUGAUGCAAAAUUGAUUAUAUCAAAUAAAAUUCUAGGUAAAUUUUUGAUAAUGACAUUGCUUACCUAAGUCUUGACCAAAUUACGUGCCAGCAGUCGCGGUAAUACGUAAAAGACUAGUGUUAUUCAUCUUUAAUUGGUUUAAAGGGUACCUAGACAGCGAAUAAAGCCAUUGUAGGGACUAAUUCGCUAGAGUUACUUAUGAGGGGGUAUUAAAGUACUGCAGGUGUAGAGAUGAAAUUUUGUUAUACCUCUUUUCGUAUGAGAAACUAUGGCACAGGUAUAGGUGAAAGCAUCCCCUUAUGUGAUAACUGACGUUGAGGGACGAAGGCUUUGUGUCGCGAACAGGAUUAGAUACCCCAGUAGUCAAAGCAGAAAAUGAUGAAUGUCAUAGAUUAGAUAUACAAUUUAUUCUAUAAAUGAAAGUGUAAGCAUUCCACCUCAAGAGUAAUUUGGCAACAUUGGAACUGAAAUCAUUAGACCGUUUCUGAAACCAGUAGUGAAGUAUGUUGUUUAAUUUGAUGAUACGCAAAAAACCUUACCACAAUUUGAAUAUUUAUAUAUAUCUUUUAUUGAUUUUUACUAACAUAUAUGUAGACAAUUAAAAUCAUGCUUAAAUCUCGUUUGUGAGACUGAGCAUGAAAAAAGAUAAUAUAUUUACAAGCGUUGCACGGCUGUCUUCAGUUAAUGUCGUGAGAUUUUGGUUAGUUCCAUUAAAUUAACGUAAACCCUUACUUUAUUUUUAUAUAAAGUAGUUCUCCGCUAUAUUGGAUAUGAUAACAGGGACUAAGACAAGUCAUCAUGGGCCUGAAUAUUGUGGGGCUAUAGACGGUGGCCACCAUA
rnacentral:rRNA from 1 species